GGGCCUUUUGAAGGCUAUAGCUUCUGCAACCUUUCUGUUGACCCCUUGGCAGGGAGCCAAUCACCUUUCUCGCCGUAGAGGCCCUGAGCUUCACCCCAGGGAAAGGGAUGGAGAAUACAACUCAGGAGGAAAAAAAAAGAGUCAAAGACACAGAGAAAAUGAGGGUCCUCUGAAGAGAGAAGAAAAUUGGUAACCGUGCCCAUUCACAGCCUUACAAGACCUCGUGCAACCACCACCACAACAAAGCAGAUCUUUUCUGUUUAUACUUUCCGUCUCAACUGCACGACGUCCUGGUUGGUAUCGGCUCAUCACCCCGUUAAUGAAGAUAAGAGUUUUCUCUCCUUGCUUGUACUGAACAGUGAGAGAUCAUCAGCUUUGUUCUGCUCCUGGAGGCUCGUGGAUGCUGCAGAAACACCAGAGUGAGCGAGCAAGGAAGCAUGUGGACCCUGUAGGCACCAGCCAGCCACGCCUGGACCGGCCAGUGCUCCUCGCUUGUGCGGGACGGGGUACAUCAGUCCAACAGGUGCAUGGCAGGCGCAUGAGAGAGCGAAGCUUGACGGGUCAGGGGAACAUAGUGUUAAAGUUAGCAACCAAGUGACCAUAAUUACAGGUGUCUCAAGUAGAAAAUAGGAGUGAGCACUGAGGAGGGGAGCAGCAUGAAGAGAGUGUGUGCAGUGGGGAGGAGCAGUUCAAGGCUAAGUCUGUGAGACCAGGUGUGCUCAGAUGUUCCUUUGUCCCUGGGCUCCUCCAUCUGGGGGAGUCUUCAACAGGCCAACAGUGUGUGGUGCGGAAAGAGAAGUAGAAAGGGCACCGGUUGUGGCCCAGUCGAGGAGUGUGUUAGUUAUCUAUGGCCGAGUAGCAAAUCACCCCAAACUUCAUGGCUUAAAACAACCAUGAACGUGUAUUAUCUCACACAGUUUAGGAACCGCUGAGGGCAUCUCAGAGGAUUCUUCACUCCCACGUGUGGCACAGGGGAGCUCUGUCUCCUCAGGCAUUUCUCUAUGUGGUCUCCACUCACGGUCUGUCCAGCAUGGUGUCUUCCAGUUAGUGGGACUGCCCAUGUGGCAGCUCAGGUGUCCCCAGAGACAGGGACAGCCAGGAGGAAGCUGUACCCCUUUUCUGAGCCGUCUCUCCUGCUGCAGUCUGUCAGGAGCGAGUGCCCCCACCUGGCCCUCAUUCACAGGGAGGGAGUCGGCAUCCACCUUUUGCUGGGAGGCAUAGCUAAGAAUCUUCUGGCAUGUUUCAUAACCACGCAGGAGCCUGCGACGUCAUCUGGGGUCUUCCCAAUCACGCCAGCGUCAACGAGAAGUCUCUUGCUGUGUGCAGUGGCUGGCCGUUCAUGUGUGGAGGGGUGAUGUGACACGCGGACAGGUGGCUCAAUGUUCUGAGACUAAAUACUACGCCUGUGUGGUUACCAGGAAGCCUUCCGUGCCUAGAAACACUUUUCUGUGACUCGGGAUGGCUUAUAUGAGAGUAGAUGGUAAAGUGGUGAUGCCACAGGGGUACAAGACAGCGUUAGGGGAGCAGGAAACUGAAGAGAUUGAGCAGGAGACCAGCAAGGGGCCUUGACUUUGGUGUGCCUUUGAUGUGUAAUGCCACAGCGGAGAAGUCCUGUCUUUGAAAGACGGCGGUCUGGGUACUAGAAUGCUGGCCACCAGUUGUCUCUGUGACUGCUAAAACCGAUAGCAGUCGAGUCCCGGCACCACCAGACUCUCAUGCUACUGACCCCGGUGUGAGUGGCACUUGGGGUUCCGUGUGCGGAAACUGGACUGUAGAUAAUUGAUUUGUUAGAGGGGGGGGGCUGGGAGGCUUAGCGCAUUCCAGUGUGUUUCCAAGCGGUGUUCGAAAGCCUCCUGUAAGGACACUGACUGCACCAUGCGAUGUUUGCCUGAUGCCAGCUAAUUAGGAAAACCCAUCCUGGGCCUAGCUUGAGUGAGCCCAGGGAAGGAUAAACAGUGUCGCUGUAGCUGGUGCGUUGCAGGUCCCCAGCGUAACCCGCAGUCCCUUUACACUUGAUCGAGCUUAUUCUGUGCACAGACUUUCACUAAAGGCCGACCUGUCCCAAUGUGUCAGGCAAUUUCCAAAGUGCAGUAGCAGUAACAGCCAGGCUUCUUAUCUGCCUCCGCUGAACAAUUAAGAGGAACCUGAGUUUCACCAAGAGCAAUUCGUUGGACAGUUUGGCAUCGUUUGCAAAUGGGUCCAGACGUCACCACUGUGGAGUCCCCUUGGGCUGAGAUAAAGACUUGCUGACCCCUGGGAUCUUCCACUUUGGAGUCCGGCAUUCCUGACCCACUUGCCCGAGGCUGGGCCGUUGCUGAGGCCGGACCCCCAGGCAAGUAUUUCUUCGCGUGUGAUUGGUAGGAUGUUGUUAGGCAAAUAUUGCGUGUGUUAUGCGAAAAUGAGUUAAUCGGUAGACAAAUAAAAGGAGAGAGAAAGAAAGUAAGCAAAUAAACUUGGAAAACUGGGCUCAAUGCAAGUUGUUUUUGCUUCUUUUGAAACAGGAUAGGGGCACCUGGGUGGCUCAGUCAGUUAAGCAUCCGACUCUUGAUUUCAGCUCAGGUCACGAUCUCAGUUUGUAGGUUUGAGUCUCACAUUGGGCUGCACUGACAGUGACCAGGUGGGCCUCUCUCUCUGCCCCUCCCCC